AGUAACGCGUGGGUAACCUGCCCUAUACACAUGGAUAACAUACUGAAAAGUUUACUAAUACACGAUAAUAUAUAUUUACGGCAUCGUAGAUAUAUCAAAGUGUUAGCGGUAUAGGAUGGACCCGCGUCUGAUUAGCUAGUUGGUGAGAUAACUGCCCACCAAGGCGACGAUCAGUAGCCGACCUGAGAGGGUGAUCGGCCACAUUGGAACUGAGACACGGUCCAAACUCCUACGGGAGGCAGCAGAA
rnacentral:rRNA from 1 species